CACGUAGGGCGCGAGCGUUGUCCGGAUUUAUUGGGCGUAAAGAGCUCGUAGGCGGUUCGUCGCGUCGGCUGUGAAAUCCCGAGGCUCAACCUCGGGUCUGCAGUCGAUACGGGCGGACUGGAGUUCGGCAGGGGAGACUGGAAUUCCUGGUGUAGCGGUGAAAUGCGCAGAUAUCAGGAGGAACACCGGUGGCGAAGGCGGGUCUCUGGGCCGAUACUGACGCUGGAGGAGCGAAAGCGUGGGGAGCGAACAGG
rnacentral:rRNA from 1 species